GUCGAGAAUUUUUCACAAUGGGCGCAAGCCUGAUGGAGCGACGCCGCGUGGGGGAUGAAGGGCUUCGGCUCGUAAACCCCUGUCAUUUGUGACCAAGGUUGCCGGUUGAACAAACCGGCAGUUUGAUGGUAGCGAAAGAGGAAGGGACGGCUAACUCUGUGCCAGCAGCCGCGGUAAUACAGAGGUCCCAAGCGUUGUUCGGAUUCACUGGGCGUAAAGGGUGCGUAGGUGGUUCGGUAAGUCUGAUGUGAAAUCUCCGAGCUCAACUCGGAAACGGCAUCGGAAACUGCCUGGCUAGAGGAUUGGAGGGGAGACUGGAAUUCUCGGUGUAGCAGUGAAAUGCGUAGAUAUCGAGAGGAACACCGGUGGCGAAGGCGAGUCUCUGGACAAUUCCUGACACUGAGGCACGAAAGCUAGGGGAGCAAACAGGAUUAGAAACCCGAGUAGUCC
rnacentral:rRNA from 1 species